CGCACCUGAGUCCGCAGAGUGUGUCGCGUCUUCUGGUCUGAUUUGCACUGAACUUGAGCAGCUAGCGUGACGACGUAAGGAGUGCGUUCCUUCUCCAACAGCGAACAGCCCCGCAAGGAUGUCAGAGCGAAAUAAGAUCGAGAAGAAAAUGGCAUGGGGUCCUUGUCGAAGUACCUACUGGACCAACAAGAUAUUGGUCCUGCCUGGGAUGCUGGGAAUGUUCGAGAAUCAGUGGACGAAAGUGGGAAUCGGAUCCUUCGAUUUCGCAACUGAACGAGAACAAUCCUUCGAAGGGAAUCCCAUCAACCUGCUCACGAAGAAGAAUCAACAAACCCCAGUCAUCCCACUGAGUCUGUCCUACUGCGUCAUCCUUUUCCACCAAACUACCACCUUCCGUUAUAUCAAUCCCUUCUACAACGACAUUGCCUCCUAGCGCACCACCUCUUCCUGGUGCGCCAAUCCCAUCUAGCAAUUUCAGGAGCAUGGGCCGGCGACAUAUAUAUACGCGGAUACGACUCUGUCGGUGCCUAUAAGAUAGUCGGAUAGAACGUUAAUCCCACCGAGGAUCCUUUAUCCUGAAAUCCGCGACACCUGCACCGACGCCAUCCUUUGGGAACGUGCCAAAUAAUUGCAGAGUCAAGAGCAAGGAUCACUGAUCAGAAGACAAGCAAGUGGACAAACGAAUUCAAGGAUAACAUUUUGGGAUACCGGAAGCACCAGGACAUCGUCGUUCACGUGAACCAAAUUUAGAAUCAGCACCAUGCCCACUGACGGCACAACAGUGUCUGCGCCCGGAACUUUUGGGGUGUCCCUGGAGCGAAGGACGUUGUUGCUACAUUCCGCGUUCGCCACCAGGGAAAUUACUCGCUGAGACAACACACGCUGGUUGGCUUUUGUGUACCCAACUAAGAGAUAACUAAUAGGGUCCGUAGAUUGUGCCCGCAGACGCCUCGAGUUUCUACGUAAUUCAAUCCGAACGCGAGCCUUUAUAUUUUAUUCCUUCGAUCACAGUCGUUCGAUCCUGCUUCACGUUGGCGAGUGAAGGUCGGAUAAGAUAAGAUUAAAAAAAAGAAAGGAGCAUCCGAAGUUUCACAAAAUUUUUAAAUUUCCCUCAUCUUCGCACCUGCCUUUACGUUUUAAACGCGCGUAAAAGACUGUCCGAGAUUCCUCGAGUUUAAAGUGACAAUCAGAACGCCUUUACCCGGCAUUGUUUGAACUUGUUAAUUAUUUGCUAAACACGUUAUCCGCUUAAUGGGGAAACUUAGUCUUGGUGUAGCGAGAGUAAAGGAGACUGAUUAAAAAUACAAAAUUCAUGUCGCUCUUAAACGUGACUGAAGGAAGAAGUGCGGGAAGCUGCGUCACUUGAGAGAAGGACGCUAGAGGGACCAGUAAGGAAAUACGAGAGAGAGAGUAAACUAUAACCAAGUGGAGAAGGUAGGUAAAACAAGUCUUAAGGAGAAAGUGAGACAGCUGCAAAUCUAUUUCAAUGGGUAAGAUAAAGAGAGUAAAAGGUGUAGGUGUUUGUCAACGGUUGCCAGUAGUUAAUUACUUUACAUGGUAGAAACUUCCAACCCUUUUGCUACUUCAGACACCCUCAAUACGUAUAUACCUAUAUACACGUUGAAGGUAGCAAGCCAAGCCUGCGUCUACGCGAAUGUACCGGCGUCACCCGUCGUAAGAGUUUACAAGACUCUAAUUCGCAUCUAGAGUUCUGUGUACGCGGUAAAUAAAGUUGACUUCUUCUCUCCUCUUA